rnacentral:rRNA from 1 species
GGACGAACGCUGGCGGCACGCCUAACACAUGCAAGUCGAACGGAGAUUGAGAGCUUGCUCUUAAAUCUUAGUGGCGGACGGGUGAGUAACACGUGAGCAACCUGCCUCUGAGAGAGGGAUAGCUUCUGGAAACGGAUGGUAAUACCUCAUAACAUUACAUGACCGCAUGAUCGUGUAAUCAAAGAUUUAUCACUCAGAGAUGGGCUCGCGUCUGAUUAGCUAGUUGGUGAGGUAACGGCCCACCAAGGCGACGAUCAGUAGCCGGACUGAGAGGUUGAACGGCCACAUUGGGACUGAGACACGGCCCAGACUCCUACGGGAGGCAGCAGUGAGGGAUAUUGCACAAUGGAGGAAACUCUUGAUGCAGCGAUGCCGCGUGGAGGAAGAAGGUUUUCGGAUUGUAAACUCCUGUUUCGAGGGACGAUAAUGACGGUACCUCGGGAGGAAGCUCCGGCUAACUACGUGCCAGCCGCAGC